GAUGAACGCUGGCGGCAUGCCUUACACAUGCAAGUCGAACGGUAACAGGUCUUCGGAUGCUGACGAGUGGCGAACGGGUGAGUAAUACAUCGGAACGUGCCCAGUAGUGGGGGAUAACUACUCGAAAGAGUGGCUAAUACCGCAUGAGAACUGAGGUUGAAAGUGGGAGACCGCAAGGCCUCACGCUACUGGAGCGGCCGAUAUCAGAUUAGGUAGUUGGUGGGGUAAAGGCCUACCAAGCCUGCGAUCUGUAGCUGGUCUGAGAGGACGACCAGCAACACUGGGACUGAGACACGGCCCAGACUCCUACGGGAGGCAGCAGUGGGGAAUUUUGGACAAUGGGCACAAGCCUGAUCCAGCAAUGCCGCGUGCAGGACGAAGGCCUUCGGGUUGUAAACUGCUUUUGUACAGAACGAAAAAGCCUCUUCUAAUACAGGGGGUGCAUGACGGUACUGUAAGAAUAAGCACCGGCUAACUACGUGCCAGCCGCCGCCGUAA
rnacentral:rRNA from 1 species